CGAUAGACUGUCUUGCUGACUUCCAAGGAGUAAGCUGGCAUCUUGUGAGAGGACCACAUGGCCUUAGCCAAAGGGAGGCCAUAAGGAGGUGAGAGCAGCCCCUGGCAGGAAAGUGGGGACCUCAGAUCCACCCACAGCUGAAGGAAAAUCAAUUCCGUCAACACCCAGAGGGAGACUGGAAGUCAUUCUUUCCUCAGUCAAGCCUCAGAUGAGACCUCAACCUGGCUCACCCCUGAUUGCAGACUUGUGACACCCUGAGCCUUGCCUGGAAGUUAAGCCAUGUCCAGAGUCCUGAACCAUGGAAACUGGGCCGGCCCAGUGGCACAGCGGUUAAGUUCACACUUAACACUUAACGGGGUUCCCUGGUUCGGAUCCUGGGUGUCGACAUGGCACCUCUUGGCACGCCAUGCUGUGGACCCUCCAUACUGUUCUACAUGGAGUUUUCCAGGGAACUGCCAGACAGAGCAAAUAAUGACAGCGCUCUGGAAACAGGGUUUUGGAGGAUCUUCAGCCCCUUUCUGCCACCUCUGGGGGCUGCCAGGCUGCUGGUGUUCAAGUGACUGUGGAACAGCUGGUCUUCAAGGCUGCCAUGAAACCAAGGAAGGGGGAAUGGAAACAGAGCAAGUUAAAAUGCCACAAAGCUUAUUGUUUUUUACUGAUGAUAGUCAGCUCUUUUUCUUGAAUAAACUAUCUUUAGCCUGUUGCAAGCCUUUGGUUAAUUUCUAGAGCUGUAAAAAAGUUGAUUUUGACAAUGUUUUUGGCCACUGUUGGUGGUAGUAGUGUGGGUUAAUAGAUGUUUCAGGUGAACAAAUGCUAACAGAAUCUGAAAUAGUAUGGUUGUCUCCAGAUGGAAUGGACUGCCUUAGAAGAUAAUGAAUUCCCUGAUUUUCAAACAGAAGCUCAACAACACACGGCCAGGGGUAUUAUGGAGGGAUUCUAACAUCAGAAGAAUGGCUGGACUAGAUCAUGAUGUAUUUUAUUAUUAAAAUAUUGGAUUAUUUUAUUAUUAUUAAAUAUCUUAAAUAUCCACAAAGUAGAUAGUCCUGUUAUCUAGACCUUACUACGUUAGCUUCACCCAUGCCUUUUUCCUUUUCCUUUUUUGUUUUUCU
rnacentral:lncRNA from 1 species